UUACUACUCCCUCUGUCCAGAAUUACUUGUCAUAGAAAUGGAUGUAUCUAGACAUUUUUAGUUCCAGAUACAUCCAUUUCUGCGACAAGUAAUUCGGGACGGAGGGAGUAGUAG
rfam:Triticum aestivum genome assembly, contig: Triticum_aestivum_CS42_TGACv1_scaffold_033871_1BL